GCCCGAGGGGGCACGCGUUGCUCGGAAUUACUGGGCGUAAAGCGUGCGCAGGCGGUUCGCUAAGACCGAUGUGAAAUCCCCGGGCUUAACCUGGGAACUGCAUUGGUGACUGGCGGGCUAGAGUAUGGCAGAGGGGGGUAGAAUUCCACGUGUAGCAGUGAAAUGCGUAGAGAUGUGGAGGAAUACCGAUGGCGAAGGCAGCCCCCUGGGCCAAUACUGACGCUCAUGCACGAAAGCGUGGGGAGCAAACAGG
rnacentral:rRNA from 1 species